GACGAACGCUGGCGGCGUGCUUAACACAUGCCAGUCGAACGGUGAAGCGCCUUCCUUUUUGGUGGGUGUGGAUGAGUGGCGAACGGGUGAGUAACACGUGAGUAACCUGCCCCCUUCUUCUGGAUAACCGCAUGAAAGUGUGGCUAAUACGGGAUAUUCUGGGUCUGUCGCAUGAUGGGUCUGGGAAAGAUAUUGUUUCGGUGGGGGAUGGGCUCGCGGCCUAUCAGCUUGUUGGUGGGGUGAUGGCCUACCAAGGCGGUGACGGGUAGCCGGCCUGAGAGGGUGGACGGUCACACUGGGACUGAGACACGGCCCAGACUCGUACGGGAGGCAGCAGUGGGGAAUAUUGCACAAUGGGCGCAAGCCUGAUGCAGCGACGCCGCGUGAGGGAUGGAGGCCUUCGGGUUGUGAACCUCUUUCGCCAGUGAAGCAGGCCUGCCUCGUUUGUGGGUGGGUUGACGGUAGCUGGAUAAGAAGCGCCGGCUAACUACGUG
rnacentral:rRNA from 1 species